rnacentral:tRNA from 1 species
UUCCCGCUGGUCAAGUGGUUAAGAUUCCACACUUCCACUGCAGAGGGCACAGGUUCAAUUCCUGUUUGGGGAA